CGGACGUGAGUAACCUGCCUUGGAGUGGGGAAUAACAGAUGGAAACAUCUGCUAAUACCGCAUAAUACGUCUGUGUCGCAUGGCACUGGACGUCAAAGAUUUAUCGCUCUGAGAUGGACUCGCGUCUGAUUAGCUGGUUGGCGGGGUAACGGCCCACCAAGGCGACGAUCAGUAGCCGGACUGAGAGGUUGGCCGGCCACAUUGGGACUGAGACACGGCCCAGACUCCUACGGGAGGCAGCAG
rnacentral:rRNA from 1 species